CGGGUGGUAAACUGACAUUUAUACCUGGAUGAAAAUAUUUUGCUACUAGUCAUUGACUCAUCUCUUAGGCUUCUGAUUAUUACAUAUUCUGCUUUUGUGUAGAAAAUGUAUGCACGUGCACAUGCAUAAAUGUUACUCUUUGAAUUUUUCCAGGACAUUUCCUGAGUCUUCCCUGACUUUGUGGAGUAAGUUAUGUGGCCUUGUUACCUGUUGGCUUGCAUGCAGAUGGGAAGUGGGGAGUUCUGAACCUUCAUUUUCAAUGAGGUUUUACUCACAAUGCAAGAAACGCAUGUCCAUUCAGUGUUUUUUGAUAGUUACAUACUCGGCGGUUCAUCAUAGGGCGAUUACCCUGUGGGUCAUUAUCAAUGUGGCUAAGAGUCCUGAACCGGUUUCAGCUUCCAGUUAGCAUAUUGUUUUGAAGGUCUGUCUUCCACAUACUCAAUUCCUAACUGUUGAGCUGGGAGCUAGUGAAAGUCUGGGAGUGAUGGGUGAGGGAAAAGUGGGAACAAGAACAAUUCACAUGAUUUAUCAUUACUUUUCCAGUCCCGGUGAUGAUUUUGCUAUGAUCUAUCUGCAUGUUCGCCAUACCUCUACCCCAACCCUGCCCAAUUUUUGCAAAACUUCUUCCUGUUAUGACACGUGUUUGAGAUAGUUGCUCUCGUGUGAAGACCAUUGACUGUGUUACACUGGGGCUGAAAACCUUGUAGUCAUUAUCACUGGUAUGAUUCUCCAUACAGAAUAAGCUUCUAUAACAGAAAGACAAAAUAUAUAGUGCCUUAAAGAAUGUAGAUGUGUAUUUCUCUCUCUCAUAUAACUCUGAGGAGAAAAGGUCAGUGUAGGAAGCCAGGAUCCAAGCUGGUGGGUUUACAUUGCUUUCUGUAUUAUGUGGCUUCUAUCUCUGUGUCCAAGAAAAUUUCCUUUUCUUGUCUUUUAGCCAACCAAUGGGAGAAGAACAAGAGAAAAAGAGGUGACCAAGACAAAUAAUCCUCAAGGAUAAGACCUGAAAGUUGUUCAUAUUUCUGCUCAUAUCCUACUGGAAACAACUUAGUUAUAAGAUGCAAGUAGUUGGAAGUGAUGCUAGGUAAUACAGAAAAUAGCUGGAUGACCAUGUGGGGAAGGUCGAUUACAAAGGGAAAGAACAGCAGAAUGGAUAAUAUGAGAUAUUAGCAACCUCUAAUACAAUAACCAUAUCCUAACAAAUUGAGCUAAGCCAAUGUACAUAAUAUAAUAGCAUAAUAGAGUAUAUACUACAGAAGACUAUUAGGUAAAAUAAUUGAAUAAAAAGAUCAGGUGAAGUUCCA
rnacentral:lncRNA from 1 species